rnacentral:rRNA from 3 species
CCUGGCGGCCAUAGCGCUGUGGUCCCACCCGAUCCCAUCCCGAACUCGGAAGUGAAACGCAGCCGCGCCGAUGGUAGUGUGCACUUGCAUGCAAGAGUAGGUCACCGCCAGGG